rnacentral:rRNA from 1 species
CCCUUAGAUGCUCUGGGCCGCACGCGCGCUACACUGGUCGAUGCAACGAGUUUCUUUCCUUGGCCGACAGGCCUGGGCAAUCUUUGAACAUCGAUCGUGAUCGGGAUAGAUUCUUGUAAUUUUUGAUCUUAAACGAGGAAUUCCUAGUAAACGCAAGUCAUCAGCUUGCAUUGAUUACGUCCCUGCCCUUUGUACACACCGCCCGUCGCACCUACCGAUUGAAUGGUCCGGUGAAAUCUCCGGACUGGCGUGAGUCGGAGCAAUCUGACAAACACCGGAAAGUUGAUUAAACCUUACCAUUUAGAGGAAGGUGAAGUCGCAACA